rnacentral:rRNA from 1 species
CCUACGGGUGGCAGCAGUGGGGGAUAUUGCACAAUGGGGGAAACACUGAUGCAGCGACGCCGCGUGAGUGAAGAAGUAUUUCGGUAUGUAAAGCUCUAUCAGCAGGGAAGAAAAUGACAGUACCUGACCCCGAAGCACCGGCUAAGUACGUACCAGACGCAGCGGUCAUACGCAGGGGGCAAGCGUUAUCCGGAUUUACUGGGUGUAAAGGGAGCGUAGACGGGUAUGUAAGUAUAGAGUGAAAGCCCGGGGCCCAACCCCGGUACUGUUGUGGAAACUGGGUCACUGGAGUACAGGAGGGGCAUGCGGAAUGCCUGGUGUAGCGGUGAAAUGCGUAGAUAUCAGGAGGAACACCGAUGGCGAAGGCGGCAUGCUGGACUGAAACUGACGUUGAGGCUCGAAAGCGUGGGGAGCAAACAGGAUUAGAUACCCCUGUAGUC